ACUUACAGCUGGGGCCUGAGACCAGCUGCAUUUUAGCCAUGGCUUUACAGAGCACUCUGGAAGCGGUGUGGCUGAGCCUCCUCCUCAGCUUUCUCUGGAAAGUUGCAGAAAGCAAGGACCAAGUACUUCAGCCUUCCACUGUGGUAUCUUCGGAGGGAGCUGUGGCAGAAAUCUCCUGUAAUCACUCUAUAUCCACUGCUUACAACUUCUUCUGGUACCUUCACCUCCCAGGAUGUGCACCAAGACUCCUUAUUAAGGGCUCAAGCCCUUCUCAGCAGGGACGCUACAAUAUGACAUAUGAGCGAUUCUCCUCAUCACUGCUCAUUCUCCAGGUGCAGGUGGCAGACGCUGCCACUUACUACUGUGCUCUGGAGGACACAGAGGCAGGGAACCCAUGAAGAGCUGAACAGAAACAGGGAGAGAUCACAGCCUUUGCAAGAGGUGGAAAAGAGAUAAGCAAUAACUGCUUUCCCACCUAAUGUAUUUUUUCUCAAGCUUUUUCAUUUGGCACUGCCAUCAGAAAAUAAUUUGAGUCUAGACACACUAUAUACUAGCAAACUUACAUAGGAACAUAUGCUUUUAGCAUGUGAUUAAAUAAUGGU